rnacentral:rRNA from 1 species
CAGUCUAAGGAGCCGGCAUCAGGCACAGAUUUCUAGCCCAUAACACCUAGUUUUACCACACCCUCAAGGGCACCCAGCAGUGACAAAUAUUGUUCAUAAGCGUCAGCUUGACCCAGUAAAAGAAAUUUAGGGCCGGCUAACCCGGUGCCAGCCGCCGCGGCUACACCAGCGGGCUCAAGUUGAUAAUCAUCGGCGUUAAGCGUGAUUAAAGAAAUUCUGAAUUAGAAUUAAAUUUAAACUUAGCUGUAAUAAGCUCGUUAUUUAGAAAUACAAAACGAAAGUUAUUCUAUUUUGCUUGAAUACACRACAGCCAGGGAACAAACUGGGAUUARAUACCCCACUAUGCCUUGCCGUAAAAUAUUUACUUACAUCAACCACSCCCGGGUAUUACRAGCCUAAGCUUAAAACCCAAAGGACUUGACGGKGUCCCAUCCAUCUARAGRAGCCKGUUCUAUAAUCRAUAUUCCCCGCUAUACCUCACCAUUUCUAGCCUUCCAGCCKGUAUACCUCCGUCGCAAGCUUACCAUGUGAACGUUACUAGUAAGCUCAAUGAUCCAUCAUCAAUACGUCAGGUCAAGGUGCAGCUCACGCAAUGGAAAGCAAUGGGCUACAAUUUCUAACAUAGAACUACGAAAAAA